rnacentral:rRNA from 1 species
CGUUCCCGGGCCUUGUACACACCGCCCGUCACGCCAUGGAAGCCGGGAGUGCCCGAAGUCCGUGACCCAACCCUCGGGAGGGAGCGGCCGAAGGCAAAUUCGGUGACUGGGGCG